ACGGGAGAACUGCCUCCGAUACUGUUUGCCUUGAGUACAGAAGAGGGCGAUGGAAUUCCAGGUGUAGCGGUGAAAUGCGUAGAUAUCUGGAAGAACACCGGUUGCGAAGGCUGUUGCCUGGUCUGUUACUGACGCUCAUGGACGAAAGCGUGGGGAUCAAACAGGAUUAGAUACCCUGGUAGUCCACGCCGUAAACGAUGGAUACUCGGUGUCGGCCCGUAUGGGUCGGUGCCUAAGCUAACGCAGUAAGUAUCCCACCUGGGGAGUACGAUCGCAAGGUUGAAACUCAAAGGAAUUGACGGGGGCCCGCACAAGCAGUGGAGCAUGUGGUUUAAUUCGAUGCAACGCGAAGAACCUUACCUAGGCUCGAAAGACUGGAUUAUCCAUCGGUGAAAGCCGGUGGCGCCGCAAGGCAAU
rnacentral:rRNA from 1 species